CACGAAUGCAGACGCAAAUGUUUGCAGCUGCUGACUAUAAAACAAGGAUUCUCCCUGUAGCUCUUUACUUCUUCAUGACAUCUCUCUUCGUCUCACAGAUACGAAUGGAGUGUAAAGAGACAAUAAAGCAAACAGAAAGCUGCUGGAGCGUCAGGAACCACAGAUGAGCAAAAAACACGAGGACAGAAAGAAAUGGAGGUCAGAAUGUAAUGUGAUCCAGACGGACAUGUGACGUUUGAUUCUGAUGUUACAAGUGAGGUGAGAUUCUCACAUCGAACCCUUCAUCACUGAUGUCUAUCAUCAUCAUCAUCAUCAUCAUCAGACUACCGUUGACCUCCAGCCUUCUGGAAGCUUUAACAGACUCGUCCGAGCACAAACACACUCAGCAAGAGCGUCUUUCCCAGAGAACCUGCUGAUGCUGCACUUUACUGUCAAUCAUACUGUGAACAUUUGAGCUGCAUCAGACAGAGACUUGUUUUUGUUUAACCAAAUACUUGUUUCAA
rnacentral:lncRNA from 1 species